UACGUAGGGUGCAAGCGUUGUCCGGAAUUAUUGGGCGUAAAGAGCUCGUAGGCGGUUUGUCGCGUCGAAUGUGAAAACCCGGGGCUCAACCCCGGGCCUGCAUUCGAUACGGGCAGACUAGAGUUCGGUAGGGGAGUCUGGAAUUCCUGGUGUAGCGGUGAAAUGCGCAGAUAUCAGGAGGAACACCGGUGGCGAAGGCGGUUCUCUGGGCAUUACCUGACGCUGAGGAGCGAAAGUGUGGGGAGCGAACAGG
rnacentral:rRNA from 1 species